AAACUGCUUUUUUUCUAUGUGUAGCUCAACAGGAUAACUUGAUUCAGUCGUUGGAUGAAAUGCCAGAUGUUAGAACUCAAACAGAUGAUUUUAAUAAAGCUGCCAUGCGUAAACAAGAUGCUGCCUCUGAGGCCGAAGAGCGGUAUUUCCUACAAGAAGAAAGUAAGCUCCAAAAAAUAGAGAUGUACAGAGCCAAAAAGUUGAAGAUCAUGGAGCAGAUGCUGGAGAUACAACGGAGGUCUACUGUGGCCCAAGAAGCCAUUAGAGCUUCACAGCGGACAGAACACCAGUUUGGAAUAGAUCUCCAUUGUUUCUCACCAGUUAUUAAAUUCUCUGAAAGUUA